rnacentral:snoRNA from 15 species
GUGUUCAGUGAUGAAUUUUAUUUGCUUGGUUGCCUGACUUCCUUUGGGAUCAUGGAGGCAUCUUUAGUCACUACCUCUUCUGAGACAC